GACGAACGCUGGCGGCGUGCUUAACACAUGCAAGUCGAGCGGUAAGGCCCUUUCGGGGGUACACGAGCGGCGAACGGGUGAGUAACACGUGGGUGACCUGCCCUCAGCUCUGGGAUAAGCCUGGGAAACCGGGUCUAAUACCGGAUAUGACUCCAUGACGCAUGUUGUGGGGUGGAAAGCCUUGUGCGGCUGAGGAUGGGCCCGCGGCCUAUCAGCUUGUUGGGUGGGGNGAUGGCCUACCAAGGCGACGACGGGUAGCCGGCCUGAGAGGGCGACCGGCCACACUGGGACUGAGACACGGCCCAGACUCCUACGGGAGGGCAGGCAGUGGGGAAUCUUGCGCAAUGGGCGAAAGCCUGACGCAGCGACGCCGCGUGA
rnacentral:rRNA from 1 species